AGGAACUCUGCUCCAUAACCUCAUCAGUAGCACUGGGUUCCACUCACUUGUUGCUCAUUGAAGACUUCUGUGCCGGUACCCUGCAGGCCCGGGGUCGCAGGUGAACCUGGCUGGACGCAGCUGGAUGCCCGCGCCCGGCUGCCAAGCAGUAGUCCGCAGGCAGGGGACAGGGGACCCCAGCGCAGCCCUGGGCUGACACACAUGAAGUCACUUUCCCAGGGUGGUCCCUGGACCCCAUGUGGGGCAUGUAGGCUGGGAGCCCUCUGGUGUGGACUCCGGACCCGCCUGGUGCUGUUAAACCCGCGCCAGCACCUCCUGCAGAAGCAGGGCCCUCGGCCAGCCUUGCACUCCAGGGCCCCCCAGAGACCACCUCUGGUGGUCCUGAACCCAGAGGCGGAGUCCAGAGCCUUCCUAGGAGGCUGCCGAAGAUGGAAAUAACACACUGGUCAUUCGCGAAAGUGCACGGGACAUGGGAAGCCUCAAGGCAAAGGGACCACACAUAACCACAGGAGCUGUUGGGAAGCAGGAAGGCAUGUCUAUCUUGGAAGAAGACAGGCUGAGGCUAGGCUGGCGGGGCCAACAAACAUCCCCAGGCCACGAGGAACCCCACGUCCCUGCCCCGGGGCCGCAGAGCUCAAGGCAACAUCCUUCCUGGAACUGCUGGCUUCUCGACCUGCCCUCAGGGCUGUGAAGGCAAAGGUGAACCUACCCCCCACACUUCUCCAGUCAACACCUGUUGCUCCCGCCCCCACCAACCCUAUGGGCUGUGCACCCCUCCUGGCCACCCUCACCAGAGACCCCAAGCUCAGGCAGAAGCGUGGCCCAGCCACAGUGCUUAAAAGGCUCUCUUCCAAGGUGAGGAAAUGGUUAAAAUGGUGGCAGCCUGCAGGUGAAGUGUCACACUCCACCACCACAGACCACACAGUGCCUUCUGCUUUCUGCAAGUCUUGAGGGUAUAAAGAGUGCUCCGAGUUUGUGUCUGCACCCACACCCACAGCAUGACCCCAGUGACUGAGAUGGGGGGUGUCUGAGUAUAUGAGGGGACAGGAGAUGGGGGGAUGGA